rnacentral:tRNA from 1 species
GAGGCUUUGGCUUAAUUUAAAGUAUUUGAGUUGCAAUCAGAAGAUGUAUUAUUAUACAGGCCUUCA